CGGCGUGCCUAAUACAUGCAAGUAGAACGCUGAAGGAAGGAGCUUGCUCUUUCCGGAUGAGUUGCGAACGGGUGAGUAACGCGUAGGUAACCUGCCUGGUAGCGGGGGAUAACUAUUGGAAACGAUAGCUAAUACCGCAUAACAGUAGAUAUCGCAUGAUAGCUGCUUGAAAGGUGCAACUGCACCACUACCAGAUGGACCUGCGUUGUAUUAGCUAGUUGGUGAGGUAACGGCUCACCAAGGCAACGAUACAUAGCCGACCUGAGAGGGUGAUCGGCCACACUGGGACUGAGACACGGCCCAGACUCCUACGGGAGGCAGCAGUAGGGAAUCUUCGGCAAUGGACGGAAGUCUGACCGAGCAACGCCGCGUGAGUGAAGAAGGUUUUCGGAUCGUAAAGCUCUGUUGUAAGAGAAGAACGAGUGUGAGAGUGGAAAGUUCACACUGUGACGGUAUCUUACCAGAAAGGGACGGCUAACUACGUGCCAGCAGCCGCGGU
rnacentral:rRNA from 1 species